rnacentral:lncRNA from 1 species
AUGAAUGAUCUAAGAGUUUUACAUAUAACUCUCCAUUAUGUUCUUCCUCCCUCCUCCCCUUCUCUCCUUCCUUCCCACUCUGCGUUCAUCCUGACUUUCUUUCCUCCCUCUCCUUCCUUUCCUUUUCUUCCUUCCUCCUUCCCUUUCUUCCCUUCCUUUCCUUUCCUUUCUCUUCCUUUCCUUUCCUUUUUCCUUUCCCUUCCUUUCCUUUUCUUUCCCUUCCCUUUCUCUUUGUUUCCCUCCCUUCCCUUCCUUUCCUUUCCCUUACCUUUCUCUUCCUUUCCCUUCUCUUCCUUUCCUUUCCCUUCCCUUCCUGUCCAUUCCUUCCCUUCCCUUCCCUUCCCUUCCCUUCCUUUCCUUUCCCUUCCCUUCCUUUCCAUUCCUUCCCUUCCUUUCCUUUCCCUUCUCUUCCUUUCCUUUCCCUUCUUUUCCUUUCCUUUCCCUUCUCUUCCUUUUCUUUCCCUUCUCUUCCUUUCCUUUCCCUUCCUUUCCUUUCCUUUUUCCUUUCCCUUCCCUUCCUUUUUUUUCUUUUCCCUUCUCUUCUCUUCCUUUCCUUUCCCUUCCCUUUCUUUGUUUCCCUCCCUUCCCUUCCUUUCCUUUCCCUUACCUUUCUCUUCUUUUCCCUUCCCUUCCUUUCCCUUCUCUUCCUUUCCUUUCCCUUCUCUUCCUUUCCUUUCCCUUCCCUUCCUUUCCAUUCCUUCCCUUCCCUUCCCUUCCUUUCCUUUCCUUUCCCUUCCCUUCCUUUCCAUUCCUUCCCUUCCUUUCCUUUCCCUUCUCUUCCUUUCCUUUCCCUUCUCUUCCUUUCCUUUCCCUUCCCUUCCUUUCCAUUCCUUCCCUUCCCUUCCCUUCCUUUCCUUUCCCUUCCCUUCCUUUCCAUUCCUUCCCUUCCUUCCCUUCCCUUCCUUUCCUUUCCUUUCCCUUCUCUUCCUUUCCUUUCCCUUCCCUUCCUUUCCAUUCCUUCCCUUCCCUUCCUUUCCUUUCCUUUCCCUUCCUUUCCUUUCCUUUCCCUUCCUUUCCUUUCCCUUCCCUUCCUUUCCUUUCCUUUCCCUUCCUUUCCUUUCCCUUCCCUUCCUUUCCUUUCCUUUCCCUUCCUUUCCUUUCCCUUCCCUUCCUUUCCAUUCCUUCACUUCCUUUCCUUUCCCUUCUCUUCCUUUCCUUUCCCUUCCCUUCCUUUCCAUUCCUUCCCUUCCUUUCCUUUCCUCUCUCUUCCUUUCCUUUCCUUUCUCUUCCUUUCCUUUCCCUUCUCUUCCUUUCCUUUCCCUUCUCUUCCUUUCCUUUCCCUUCCCUUCCUGUCCAUUCCUUCCCUGCCUUUCCUUCCCUUCCCUUCCCUUCUUUCCUUCCGUGUUUCCUUCCAGUACAACAGGACCCAGUCACCCGAUUCCCCAGCAUCAGCAGAAGACACAUGUCUCUGACCCCCACAGUGAGGUGGAAGGGGAACGGGGGCCUAGCCUGUGGGGGCUGUAG